UCCUGCCCUUGGCUGCCUGCUCAGCUAACAGCACUGGUCUUGUGACAUCCCGCUCAGAUGGCAGCACAUAUCCGUGUGUUUAAAAAAAUAUGUUAUCUUUACAGCAUUGCUCCAGUAAGAUGACACCCAGAAUACCAGGUACUGAAGAUAAGCAACAGAAGAACUGAAGAUUUGGGGCUGAAUGUGCAUAGAAGUACAUGCAUUCAAGUCCUGGGUUAACAACUUUUCCAAACGUCAUGAGAGCAGCAGUUUGGAGACACAGGACAAAUGCUCCUCCAAAGAGGUGGAGGAAGAGAAGAAAACCCUUCCCAUCUGCACUGAGAGCAUGGGAGCCAAGUUUCUGCCUGGAACGAUCUGAGGGGCUGAUGUACAGUUAUCCAGAAAUACAGCAUUUCAUCAUCUACUUCAAAGGACUACCACGGAAAGAGAGCAAAAGUAAGCCAGGUAAUGACUUUCCAAAGAAAAUCAUCAUGUACAUGGCACAGCUUUGCAAAGGGCUUCAUUCUGCUAGAGAGAAGAGCUACUGCCCUCGCUACUCUUCCUCCACCAUGUUCCCACAGUUCUCAUGCUUAUUUUAAACUUUCUUUCCCCUCUUUCCCACGUUCUUGUUUCUUUUUGAUAACAUUCAUUUAAUUAUAAAAAAUAUAAAGGGGUCAAAGGGUUGCUUUUGGAAUAAUGGAUGCCU
ensembl:lncRNA